AAACAUUUCUUUUUGAUUAAAAUUUAAAGUAAAUUCUGCUCUAUGAAUUAAAAUUAAAUGGCUGCAGUAUUUUAACUGUACAAAGGUAGCAUAAUAAAUUGUUUUUUAAAUGAAAACUUGAAUGAAUGAAUAAAUGAAAUAUAAACUUUAUUAAAAAAUAAUUUUGAAAUUUAUUUUUAAGUUAAAAAGCUUAAAUAAUUUAAUGGGACGAUAAGACCCUAUAGAAUUUUAUAAAUUUAUUAAUAAAUUUAUUAAUAAAUUUAUUUUUUUGGGAGGAAAUUAAAAUAAAUUUAACUUUUAAAAAUUAAUAAACAAUAAUAAUUGAUAAAUUAAAUUUUUGAAUUUAAAAUUUUAAAUUAUAGAUUAAAUUACCUUAGGGAUAACAGCGUAAUAUUUUUUGAUAGUUCAUAUUGAAAAAAAUGUUU
rnacentral:rRNA from 1 species